rnacentral:rRNA from 1 species
AAUGAACGCUGGCGGCAUGCCUAACACAUGCAAGUCGAACGAGAAGCCAAUGCUUGCAUUGGUAGAGAGUGGCGCACGGGUGAGUAACGCGUGGAUAACAUACCUUUUGGUUGGGGAUAACUCGAGGAAACUUGAGCUAAUACCGAAUAAGUUCAGUUGAGGUUCGCCGACGCUGAAGAAAGGGGGGCAACUCCCACCGAUUGAUUGGUCCGCGUACCAUCAGCUUGUUGGUGAGGUAACGGCUCACCAAGGCUACGACGGUUAGCUGGUCUGAGAGGAUGAUCAGCCACACUGGGACUGAGACACGGCCCAG